rnacentral:rRNA from 1 species
GAUGAACGCUGGCGGCGUGCCUAAUACAUGCAAGUCGAGCGAACAGACGAGGAGCUUGCUCCUCUGACGUUAGCGGCGGACGGGUGAGUAACACGUGGAUAACCUACCUAUAGGACUGGGAUAACUUCGGGAAACCGGAGCUAAUACCGGAUAAUAUAUUGAACCGCAUGGUUCAAUAGUGAAAGACGGUUUUGCUGUCACUUAUAGAUGGAUCCGCGCCGCAUUAGCUAGUUGGUAAGGUAACGGCUUACCAAGGCAACGAUGCGUAGCCGACCUGAGAGGGUGAUCGGCCACACUGGAACUGAGACACGGUCCAGACUCCUACGGGAGGCAGCAGUAGGGAAUCUUCCGCAAUGGGCGAAAGCCUGACGGAGCAACGCCGCGUGAGUGAUGAAGGUCUUCGGAUCGUAAAACUCUGUUAUUAGGGAUGAACAAAUGUGUAAGUAACUAUGCACGUCUUGACGGUACCUAAUCAGAAAGCCACGGCUAACUACGUG